GCGAGAAGAAUACAAAUUGACGAGGGCCAACCUCUAUCGGACGUGGCAGUCUUGGCAAGCAAUCCAUUUUGGCGGACAAAGGAACUGCUCCGCAUUUGCCGAUAAGGGAGCACCACUUGGAGGCCGGGCAGCGUGUGGAAGUACGAGGAUGGUGACCCUGGGAUACAUCGUCUUGCCGGACCGAUCGCCACCAAAACGAUUGCAAACGUCACCCGGAUCUGAGGCAACAUGAGUGGAAUGGCGGACACGGCCUCCGCCAGCUCAGUGGCUACACAGCAAGGCACUUCGACACUGCGGAGAUCGAAAACAUGUCAUCGAUGCUUGCGCGCAGGUUUUGAAAUGUGCUAAAUAAAAGAUAGUUG